UCACGGUUAAACGGGGCUUUUUACCUUCUUUAAUCUUCAUGAGCCCUCUUGGAUCUCUUCUAAGUGAACUUUCCUUUCUUUCCUGUUCUAAGGCCUUUUAAGUAAACUUCCACUCCUGCUCUAAAAUGUGCCUAGGUCUCUUGUUCUGCUUUAUGCCCCUCAGUCUAGUUGUUUCUUCUGAGGAGGCAAGAUUUAAAGUUGCGGCCGACCUGUGCGGAUUUGCUACUGGUAACUCCUGGUAACUCCGGUCUCUUCCACCACUAACAAAAUGAGGUCCUUGAGGUGGGCUCUAAUUCAGUAUGACCGGUAUCCUUACAAAGAGGAGAUGAGGACCUAGGCACACUCAGAGGAAAGAUCGCUUGAAGACACAAGGAGAAGAUGACACUGUACAAGCUAAGGAAAGAGGCCUCAGAAGAAACCAACCCUGCUGACACCUGGGUCCUGGACUUCUAUCCCACAGAACUGCAGAGGGGUUCUCUCCCCUUGGCUACCAUAGCUGGGAAUAUUCUGGGUCACACAUGAAGCCAGCAUGGCUCUGAAUCUUACCCAAGGGACACAGUAAGCAUCGCUCGUGUUCUGCUCUUGCACCCUGAUCUACCUCCCCUUCCUUACCCUAGAGCACCCCCAUGCUGACAGAGUCUCGCUCUGUUGCCAGGCUGGAGUGCAAUGGUGAGAUCUCAGCUCACUUCACCCUCCGUCUCCCAGGUUCAAGCAAUUCUCCUGCCUCAGCCUCCCGAGUAGCUGGGACUACAGCAGAGACAGGGUUUCAUCGUGUUGGACAGGCUGAUCUUGAACUCCUGACCUCAAGGGAUCAACCCACAUCGGCCUCCCAAAGUUCUGGAUUUAUAAGUGUGAGCCACCAUGCCCGGCCCUGACUUCUACUUUCAAAAGGUCUUUUUUCCUCUCUUCAUUAAUUUUCUAUUAAAAUGUGGGUGAUCCAGUGGUUUAUUCUGCAGCAGUGCCACUAGAUAGAAUGAGUCAAAACCCCUGAAAUAUCUUUACUGAAGUUUCCCCAUUCAUGGCAUUCCCUACCAUCCUGACAUGCCAGGUACUAAGGGGUUUCCUGGUAUACAGGACUUUCAGUACUAAAACCAGAAUAAUCCCAUGCAAACCUGAACUGCUGUACACCCAACCAGGCAUACUCUAUAAGAAAACAGUGUAAGGGAGAAAUAUUAUUUUAUUGUAUUAAGCCACUGAGAUUUAGAAAUUUGUUUUUGUAACAGCAAUUAGCCUACCUUUAGUAACAGAAAUUAAUAUCUCACAGUGUUAGACUACCAAAACAAACACAUUGGCUUAGAUAAUGAAUAAUGAGAAAACUGAUAUCAAGAGCUGGAAAGAUGUUGAUCCAUGCUUUCCCAUGGGGAAGCUCUUGAUAAUAUUGGCACUAUGUUAACAUUGGAGGCAGAUUACUUGUAUUCUAAGCUAGUAACACUAGGAUAAGAAAUCAGAAGUCACUUGUGUCCUCUGUGGUGGUGGUAUGUUUUUAAAAAUGUAAAGGGCAACUGUACUACAACUUUUGUGAAAUGUAGAAAGCAAUUUCAUUACAAUGUAAAAUGUAUAUUAAAACCACGUUGCAGCUGCACAAAAAAAGAUAUCAGGCUAGAUUUGUAUAUCGUAUUCAUAUAUAUGUAAAACAAAUCACAACCUCAUAUGCACAGAUUCAUAAAAAGUAAUAUUUUUUCUUGCAUCUGUCUUCAUUUAAAAAAGAUUAUGCAGAAAAUACAUCCAUGUGGUAUAUAUAAGGUCUAUAGGCAUCCACGUGUAAAGAUAUAUCUUUCCCUUGCUGUCAACCACUGUUUGUCUUCCCCAUUUAAAACCUUGGUGUUACAUUCCUUUUCUCACUGUCUUAUGUGAAUCAUUAUUAGUUUAUCAUCAAUUGCAUUUACGUUUGUGGGUCAUUAAGCCAGGCUCUUUCAACUAACUUUUAACUUUGCCAGCAUUUUUAUACCAAUAGUACGACAAUGAAACCACAUAGUACUGUCACGGACUUUGUCCCAGUGAGAUACACAGAAAGAGAGGACUGGACAAUAUUGAAAGAGCACAAUUAACCCUUUCCAAAAUUUUCCUUUUCUAUUAUUGCACUGUGGCAUUUUGUUGCUUGUUAUUACCAUCUUUGGAAACUAUCGCUUGAAAAUACCACUUAAAAACCUUUAAGAAAGUUCUAUUUAUUAUUUGAAUGUUUGUGCAAAUUGAAAUAAAAUAUGCAUUUCAAUCACUGUUUGGAUCUCUAUGUUGUUCAUCACACAAACCAUAUUAAUGCUAGAGCAGCAUCUUUCCAAUCUUCCUAGGAUAGAGUUCAGCAAGAUAUAUCAUUGAUUAACUUCCUUAUGAUUAACUACCUUAUUGUAUUCAAGUCUUUUCUAAAUUAUUAUUUUCUUAAGGAAUCUUGUACCACAACCCGACUUAAUAUUGCAAUCUCAUCCCUGGGAAUUUUG
rnacentral:lncRNA from 1 species